UGGAAAUGAUGAAACAGAGAUAACAGGGUGCAUUUGAAUGGUGUGUGAUUGGAGCAUUUUAAAAUUUAAAUUAAGUAAAUAUUAAAAUGGGGGGGGGUGUAUGUGUGUGUGCGUGGGUUUAAGUAUAAAGGCUAAGGAAAGGGAGCCCUGACAGAUAAUGCAGAUAUCGGAGUGCAUCUGAGGCGGUUGUAAAAAUACAAGAGUGUUUAUUACAACUUUGCCAGUGAUUACAAUUUGGAAACGGCUCACCUACCUGCCUGACACCCUAUAAUCUCUAACAGGUUCAUAAAUGUGGACCUGUAAUCUGAUCCAU
rnacentral:snoRNA from 15 species